CGUCAUUUCUUCCUUCCCCCCUAAUCUCUUCCGGAGGAAGAACCGGUGCUGGAAGGGCGCAUGUAGAAGCACGUCGGAGCACGUCGUUGGAAGAGGAGCUAGAACGGCGGAGAAGGCGGGGAGUCUCCUCGGAGUUUCGUUGUCACGUAAUUCUCAAUCGUUGCUUCGUCGACCUGACCGCGAUCGCUCUUUCCAGGCCAGGAGGAAAACGGACAAGGGAAACGUAAAAUGAGACACCAGAAGAGCGAUAAACGGGAUUCCACGGUCAGGAUUGUGUUCGUAAUUUAUUUAACCAUCAGGAGGAGGAGGAGGAGGAGGGUUUAGCAGAUUGACGGGAGAUUCGAUAGAAGUAGCGAGGAGCGAUAGGACGGUUCAUGCCGGCAGGUUCGUGCGCAGGGGAGUCGUUCCACGAUUAUGUUAAAUAAUCGUAUUCCACGAUCGCGAUUACUUGUCUCGGGAAGAAAUCAGCGUCCGCGAAAACAUAGGCGUAUCCUCUACGCCUGGGAGAUGUGAUUGAAAUGCCAGAGACGAAAGAUAACGAGCUGAGAAUUCACGCCAGGAUAAAUAAAGCACCGUUUCAUUCGCCUCAGCUGAAUCGCAUUCGCGACCGCGCUCGUCUUGGGAAGAAGCCGGUAUCUA